AGUGAACGCUGGCGGUAGGCCUAACACAUGCAAGUCGAACGGCAGCACAGGAGAGCUUGCUCUCUGGGUGGCGAGUGGCGGACGGGUGAGGAAUACAUCGGAAUCUACUCUGUCGUGGGGGAUAACGUAGGGAAACUUACGCUAAUACCGCAUACGACCUACGGGUGAAAGCAGGGGACCUUCGGGCCUUGCGCGAUUGAAUGAGCCGAUGUCGGAUUAGCUAGUUGGCGGGGUAAAGGCCCACCAAGGCGACGAUCCGUAGCUGGUCUGAGAGGAUGAUCAGCCCGACUGGAACUGAGACACGGUCCAGACUCCUACGGGAGGCAGCAGUGGGGAAUAUUGGACAAUGGGCGCAAGCCUGAUCCAGCCAUACCGCGUGGGUGAAGAAGGCCUUCGGGUUGUAAAGCCCUUUUGUUGGGAAAGAAAUCCAGCUGGCUAAUACCCGGUUGGGAUGACGGUACCCAAAGAAUAAGCACCGGCUAACUUCGUGCCAGCCGCCGCGGUAA
rnacentral:rRNA from 1 species